rnacentral:rRNA from 1 species
UACGUAGGGGGCAAGCGUUGUCCGGAUUUAUUGGGCGUAAAGAGCGUGUAGGCGGCCAAGCAGGUCAGCUGUGAAAACUCGAGGCUCAACCUCGAGACGUCGGUUGAAACCGCUUGGCUAGAGUCCGGAAGAGGAGAGUGGAAUUCCCGGUGUAGCGGUGAAAUGCGCAGAUAUCAGGAAGAACACCCGUGGCGAAGGCAGCUCUCUGGGACGGUACUGACGCUGAGACGCGAAAGCGUGGGGAGCGAACAGG